CUGUANCUCAGUCGGGAGAGCACCUGGUUUUGUAACCAGGGAGGUCACCGGGUUCGAACCCGGUCCAGCUCC
rnacentral:tRNA from 1 species